GGUGAACGCUGGCGGCGUGCUUAAGACAUGCAAGUCGAACGGGCUCUUCGGAGCUAGUGGCGCACGGGUGAGUAACUCGUAACUGACCUACCCCAACGUCGCGGAUAACGAUUCGAAAGAAUCGCCAAUACGUGAUGUGCUGUCAGAUCCUGGUCUGCCAGUACAGAUUUAUUGCUUUUGGUAGUGAGUUGCGGUCCAUCAGCUAGUUGGGGGGGUGAAGGCCCACCAAGGCGACGACGGAUAGCCGGCCUGAGAGGGUGGCCGGCCACAGGGGCACUGAGACACGGGUCCGACUCCUACGGGAGGCAGCAGUUAGGAAUCUUCCACAAUGGGCGAAAGCCUGAUGGAGCGACGCCGCGUGAGGGAUGAAGGUCUUCGGAUCGUAAACCUCUGAAUCAGGGAAGAAAGACACUUUAUGUGGGAUGACGGUACCUGAGUAAUAGCACCGGCUAACUCCGUGCCAGCCGCCGCCGUAAGAC
rnacentral:rRNA from 1 species